UUCUUUAAAAAUACAUAACAGUGCUCGCUUCAGUGGAAUGAUUCAAAGAUGUUUAGCAGAGUCCCUGAGCAAAGAUGAUACACAAAUUCAUGAAGCAUUCUAUAUUUUU